rnacentral:piRNA from 1 species
UGGGUGUGGAUUCCUACUGGAGAGGUGGG